rnacentral:rRNA from 1 species
GAAAGUAAGCAAGGGCGUACGGAGGAUGCCUAGGCUUCUGGAGGCGAAGAAGGACGUGUUAAGCUGCGAUAAGCCUCGGGGAUUAGCAAAAAUGAUUUGAUCCGAGGAUUUCCGAAUGGGGCAACCCGUCAGGUAGAAGGCCUGACACAUCGCAAGAUGAGCUAACCCGCUGAACUGAAACAUCUAAGUAGGCGGAGGAAGAGAAAGAAACAUCGAUUUCCUGAGUAGCGGCGAGCGAAAGGGAAAGAGCCCAAACCUAGAUUGUUACGGCAAUUUAGGGGUUGUAGGACUGCAGAACUCAAUACAAACGAACAAGAAUUACCUGGAAAGGUAAACCAUAGAGGGUGAAAGUCUCGUAUUGGUAAGUUAUGUAAGCGGUAGCAGUAUCCUGAGUAUGGCGGGACACGAGGAAUCCUGUCAGAAUCUGCGGGGACCACCCCGUAAGGCUAAAUACUCCCAGAAGACCGAUAGUGGACCAGUACCGUGAGGGAAAGGUGAAAAGUACUCCGAACAGGAGAGUGAAAAAGACCCUGAAACCGUACGCUUACAACCGGUCGGAGCGGCUUCGUGCCGUGACGGCGUGCCUUUUGCAUAAUGAGCCUACGAGUUACUAAUCACUAGCGAGGUUAAGGGCUUAUAAGUCCGGAGCCGAAGCGAAAGCGAGUCUGAAUAGGGCGUAUAGUUAGUGGUUGUAGACGCGAAACCUUGCGAUCUACCCAUGAGCAGGAUGAAGGUUGGGUAAUACCAACUGGAGGUCCGCACCAGUAAACGUUGAAAAGUUUUUGGAUGACUUGUGGGUAGGGGUGAAAGGCUAAUCAAGCUGGGAAAUAGCUCGUACUCCCCGAAAUGCUUUUAGGAGCAGCGUUGAAACAGUCUACUGGAGGUAGAGCUACUGAUUGGAUGCGGGGGCUUCACCGCCUACCAAAUCCUGACAAACUCCGAAUGCCAGUAGUAUGAUUUUCAGCAGUGAGCCGUCGGGUGCUAAUGUCCGGCGACAAAAGAGGAACAACUCAGACCAUCAGCUAAGGCCCCCAAACAUACACUAAGUUGAACUAACGAUGUGCGACUGCAGCGACAGCUAGGAUGUUAGCUUGGAAGCAGCUAUUCAUUUAAAGAGUGCGUAACAGCUCACUAGUCGAGCGGUUGUGCGUGGAUAAUAAACGGGCAUCAAGUGUAUUGCCGAAGCUAUGGGAUCGAAAGAUCGGUAGGGGAGCAUUCCAUCGACGUAGAAGUUGGGUCGUAAGGCCUGGUGGAGUUUAUGGAAAAGCAAAUGUAGGCAUAAGUAACGAUAAGGCGGGAGAGUAACCCGCCCACCGCAAGACCAAGGUUUCCUGAUCAACGUUAAUCGGAUCAGGGUUAGUCGGGACCUAAGGGUAAGCCGAAAGGUGAUCUCGAUGGACAAUCGGUUAAUAUUCCGAUACUAGCAUAUACUGCGAUGGAGGGACGGAGAAGCGUAAGCUACGCGAACUGACGGAAUAGUUCGUUAAAGAGUUUAGGUAUAUUUAGACGUUAAUAGCGUUUAGAUGCUGAAGCUUGACAGUACCAAGCGGCUACGGCCAAUUGGAUAGUUAGCCCAAGCAGACUUCCGAGAAAAACUUCUAAGCUUCAGGUAUAUGGUACCCGUACUGUAAACCGACACAGGUGGUCGAGGAGAGUAUCCUCAGGUGCUUGAGUGAAUCACGGAUAAGGAACUAGGCAAAUUAACCCCGUAACUUCGGGAAAAGGGGUCCCUACGCGAGUAGGGCGCAGCGAAGAGGUCCAGGCGACUGUUUAUCAAAAACACAGGGCUCUGCAAAUUCGAAAGAAGACGUAUAGGGCCUGACACCUGCCCGGUGCUGGAAGGUUAAGAGGGGAUGUCAUCGCAAGAGAAGCAUUGAAUCGAAGCCCCAGUAAACGGCGGCCGUAACUAUAACGGUCCUAAGGUAGCGAAAUUCCUUGUCGGGUAAGUUCCGAC